AAGUCGUAACAAGGUUUCCGUAGGUGAACCUGCGGAAGGAUCAUUACCUAGAGUUUGCGGGCUUUGCCUGCUAUCUCUUACCCAUGUCUUUUGAGUACUUACGUUUCCUCGGUGGGUUCGCCCGCCGAUUGGACAAUUUAAACCCUUUGCAGUUGCAAUCAGCGUCUGAAAAAAAUUAAUAAUUACAACUUUCAACAACGGAUCUCUUGGUUCUGGCAUCGAUGAAGAACGCAGCGAAAUGCGAUAAGUAAUGUGAAUUGCAGAAUUCAGUGAAUCAUCGAAUCUUUGAACGCACAUUGCGCCCCUUGGUAUUCCAUGGGGCAUGCCUGUUCGAGCGUCAUUUGUACCUUCAAGCUCUGCUUGGUGUUGGGUGUUUGUCUCGCCUUUGCGUGUAGACUCGCCUCAAAACAAUUGGCAGCCGGCGUAUUGAUUUCGGAGCGCAGUACAUCUCGCGCUUUGCACUCAUAACGACGACGUCCAAAAGUACAUUUUUACACUCUUGACCUCGGAUCAGGUAGGGAUGCCCGCUGAACUUAA
rnacentral:rRNA from 1 species